GGUCUGGUGGUGUAAUGGUUAGCACGCCUGCUUGCAUUGCAUUUGGGCCAGCGUCAAGUAUUUACACCAGGAGUUCCCUUGUUCGAAUCAAGGCCAGGCCG